rnacentral:rRNA from 1 species
AGUGAACGCUGGCGGUAGGCCUAACACAUGCAAGUCGAACGGCAGCACAGUAAGUUCUUGCUCUUACGGUUGGCGAGUGUCGUACGGGUGAUGUAUACAUCGGAAUCUUCUUUUUCUUUGGUGUUAACGUAGUUAAACUUACGCUAAUACCUCAUACCUCCUACGUGUGAAAUCAUUGGUUCUUCUGACCUUUCGCGAUUGUAUUAGCCGAUGUCGGAUUAGCUAGUUGGCUGGGUAAAGGCCCACCAAGGCGACGAUCCGUAGCUGGUCUGAGAGGAUGAUCAGACACACUGGAACUGAGACACGGACCAGAGUCAUACGGGAGGCAGCAGAGGGGAAUAUUGGACAAUGGGGGAAAGCCUGAUCCAGCAAUACCGCGUGGGUGAAGAAGGCGUUCGGGUUGUAAAGAACUUUUGUUGGGAAAGAAAAGAAGCAGGUUAAAACAAAGAUGUUGUGACGGUACCAAAAGAAAAAGCACCGGCUAACUACGUG